GGUAGGCAAGAAAGAACAAAAAGAAGAAUGAGGGAGAAAGGAAAAGGAAGGCUUAGAAAAGUGGAAAAGAAAAAGGAUAGGAUAAUUUAUACGUUUUAUAGCCAAAUUUUAAUGCUUUAGAUGAGCUUUAAUAUUAUUCAUUAAAUAAAAAAUAGUUUAUUGAGUAAACUUUUUUUGUAUAAAAAAAGGAAAUAAUUGAAGAGGAGUUGUGAAGGAAAGUGGUUGUUGUUCGGUGGUUUAACAUAA